UACGUAGGGUGCGAGCGUUAAUCGGAAUCAUUGGGCGUAAAGCGCACGUAGGCGGCCUGAUAAGUCGGGUGUGUAAGCCCUGGGCUCAACCCAGGAAGUGCACUCGAAACUGUCAGGCUUGAAUAUGGAAGAGGGUCGCGGAAUUCCCGGUGUAGAGGUGAAAUUCGUAGAUAUCGGGAGGAACACCAGUGGCGAAGGCGGCGACCUGGGCCAAUAUUGACGCUGAGGUGCGAAAGCGUGGGGAGCAAACAGG
rnacentral:rRNA from 1 species